CCUACGGGAGGCAGCAGUGCGGAAUAUUGGUCAAUGGCCGUAAGGCUGAACCAGCCAAGUCGCGUGAAGGAAGAAGGAUCUAUGGUUUGUAAACUUCUUUUAUAGGGGAAUAAAGGUAUCCACGUGUGGAUAUUUGCAUGUACACUUUGAUUAAGCAUCGGCUAACUCCGUGCCAGCAGCCGCGGUAAUACGGAGGAUGCGAGCGUUAUCCGGAUUUAUUGGGUUUAAAGGGUGCGUAGGUUGUUUUUUAAGUCAGAGGUGAAAGUUUGUGGCGCAACCAGAAAAUUGCCGUUGAAACUGGAAGACGUGAGUGUGUGUGAGGUAGGUGGAAUGCGUGGUGUAGCGGUGAAAUGCAUAGAGAUCACGCAGAACUCCGAUUGCGAAGGCAGCUUACUAAGCCAUAACUGACACUGAAGCACGAAAGCGUGGGGAGCAAACAGGAGUAGAUACCCCAGUAGUC
rnacentral:rRNA from 1 species